UACGUAGGCAGCGAGCGUUGUUCGGAGUUACUGGGCGUAAAGGGUGUGUAGGCGGUUGUUUAAGUUUGGUGUGAAAUCUCCCGGCUCAACUGGGAGGGUGCGCCGAAUACUGAGCGACUAGAGUGCGGGAGAGGAAAGUGGAAUUCCUGGUGUAGCGGUGAAAUGCGCAGAUAUCAGGAGGAACACCGGUGGCGAAAGCGGUGGUCUGGGCCAGUACUGACGCUGAGGAGCGAAAGCGUGGGGAGCGAACAGG
rnacentral:rRNA from 1 species